rnacentral:lncRNA from 10 species
CUGAGCUGGAGCAGAUCCUGGUGACCAUUUGUUGCCAAGUCCAGGAUUACACAGUGGACAAGAGGAGUUUUCUAGGACUACACUAAAAUGAGUAUAGUUAGGGUGAGGAUUUCAGGACCAUGGAACUAGAAGGAACUUUAUUCUAAACCUCAGGCUUGAAAUUCAAAACCAGAGUUUUUACUCUUGCCUGUUAGAUGUCAAUCAGAGCUUAGUUCAGCCUGAGUGCUCCUGCACAAGUCUUCAGUGUUCCUCUAUGGAUUUAUGAUUGUCUGGCCUCUCCAUCACCCCUCUGGAGUGGGAAAUAAGUGAAAGUGGCAUGGAAGGAGGUAUGAUUUGGGCAGAGAGAAAAAUCAGCCUCUUCACGGUCCUGACCUGUUUUUCAAACCCUGAGUCAAGAAUCCACUGAUGGGUUUGUUAAAGCAAUUUACUAGGUAAAGACCAACACUUAAAAAAUAAGAUAAAAUUAGUCAAGCGGG